rnacentral:rRNA from 1 species
AUGCAGCCAUAUAUUUGUCAGACUGACAGAGCUGAGAUUUGGAAAGGCAGGAUUCCCCCAUUCCAUUUUGGUCUGUCGCAUCUCAUAAUUGCUGUGUGGUUGAACACCACACGGACUCACGGAGGGCAGCUGCUCCUAGCAAUGGCCUCGACCUUGAACUAUGGUGUCAUCUCGGAAACUUGUGGUGACAUUCCUACCUUGAAGGACUCUGCUGUUGGUAAAACCUCCACUCGGAAAGAUCUUGAGGAUACAGUUUCAGGGAUGAACUGUUCUUUCCCGCCAGAGCUCAGUCAGAGUGAGGAAGCCGUCAACGUCGCAUCAGGGUUCUCCAGCGAUACUUGUCAUCCAUCUGCUGCUGGAGCAAGAUUUGCCGAGGAAUUUAUGACGGAAUGGUACUCGGAUGUUCAAAGGGCCCGUGAGACACAGCCUCCCCACGAUCUCACGCCGGGGAUGGACGGCCGUCUAUCGGAGCGAUCUGCUCUUCCACGACCGAUGCCAUCUGCUGCCGCACAACACGGCGAAGGGUCCAGCUCAGAUCCAUAUUGCGUUGACGAAAGUAGGGACGUUCGUGCCAUCAAUAUCAAAGCUGCUUCGGGUUGUCACUCCUCCGCUCCAUUCACCAUGCCACAUCCGGCGACCACUGUUUUCGAGCAGCGUGCUGAAGAUGGUUGUUCAGAGGGCUAUGAGCGACGUCAAAGGGGGCGGGCCGGCAAAAGUUAUAGCCUAGAACCUGAAGAAGAUGGCUCUAACUAUAUCAAGAGGGCGUUCGAUAGAGCUGCUGAGCGAGGUUCACGCAUCGUCUUCGAGCCCGUUGAAGGCAUGAUUUUUUCAACCGAACAAGAAGCCUAUCAGUUUUACAACACAUACUCCUGGGAGAUGGGUUUCGGUAUUAAACACGGCAACAAGUAUGAGAUAAAGAAAACUGGAUACAAGACCAAUCAGGAUUUACUCUGCUCGUGUGAGGGGCGGAGCAAUGUAGGAAAUACCAGGUCCGCGCGGACCAAAUGCCCGGCAAUGGUUCGAGUGAAGAGGACAUCCACUGAUGGCUGGUUUUUCUCUCGAGUUGUUUUGACUCACAACCAUGAGCUGGCAGAAACUGUUGGUGAGAAAAAGGUCUGGAAAUGUCAUAAUGCCAUCGACUCUUCUAUGAGAGAUCUCAUCAAACAUAUGCGUUCAAACAAUGUGCAAGUUAACAAGGUGUUUGGGGUCAUGGCUGACAUCCAUGGGCGUGCUGAAGAAGUCCCAUUCGGCAAGAGGUGUCUCAAAAAUCUUUGCGCAUCAAUUGCACAUGAAGCUAGCCAGGACGACAUCGCGAAGACACUUGAGCUUUUUGCAACAAUGCAAUCCCAGAACCCUGAUUUUUUCUAUUCAGUUAAGACCGACGGAGAAAGGAGAGUGUCUGGUCUCUUGUGGUGUCACUCGAAGAGCCGUGCUGAUUACUGGUUGUUUGGUGAUGUUUUGACAUUUGACACAACCUACAAGAGCAAUUUAUAUGAGAUGCCUGUUGGGCUUUUUGUAGGUGUCAACAACCAUUAUCAGUCCACUCUUUUCGGUUGUGUUAUUUUGCGAGAGGAGACUGUAGAGUCGUUCAAGUGGGCUUUUGCAAGAGCAACCUUCCUUGGUGCCAACGGCGGUAAAACACCAAAAACUAUUCUCACAGAUCAAUGCUUGCAGAUGGAGCGUGCAAUUGCUGAUGUUAUGCCUUCUACUGCUCACCGUUGGUGCAAAUGGCAUGUGAUGAAAAACAUCAAGGAGAAACUUGGGACCUUGUACAAAAAAGGUACACCGUUCCGCAUAGAUUUCAACUAUCUAACCAACGAGAUGAUGACCGUUGAGGAGUUUGAAUCUGGAUGGCAGUUUCUGGUUUCUAGUUAUGGACUACAGGAUAACAGGUACAUGCAGGAUGUGUUUCACUGCAGGGAUAAAUGGGCCAAACCGUAUCUUAGCUCUAACUUUUGUGCCAAAAUGUCAAGCACACAACGGAAUGAGUGCAUGAAUAACGUUCUUAAAACUUAUGUAUCGCUUUCAGCACCGCUCAACAGAUUUGUGAUGCAGUAUAACAAGCUAAUAGCCUCUCGUUGCGAAGAAGAGGAUUCUGAAAUGGCGCAUACAAAAAAGGAUGGUAAGGUGUUGCAUAGUAAUGUGCCCAUCGAGCGGCACGCCUCCAAGGUCUAUACUCGUGCUGUGUUCAAGUUGUUUUCCGCUGAGCUGUAUGAGGCAGGCAGUUACGUCGUGAAAGGUCAGAAUGUGGAUGGCCGCGUUGUCGUGCAACAUGUUGACUCAGACCUCCGCGCACACUGGUGCAAAGUAAGCUAUGUGGUUAUGGUUGAUCGAGAAAGCGAUACUUACAACUGCGAGCGCGCCAUGUAUGAGCACAUGGGGCUUCUCUGCCGGCACGCUUUGAGAGUAAUGAUUCAUGUUGGCGUUCUUCGCCUUCCGGCUCAUUAUGUGAUGAAGCGGUGGACUAGAGAUGCCCGGGACAUUCUACCUGAUCAUAUCAAGAAUUAUCAGAGAGACUCGGACAUUGGGGUUUCCAAAACAUUCAGGCACAAUAUUCUGUAUGUGCGUGCACUGCAGGUGGUAAAGGAAGGUAACCUAUCUGUGCCACUUUUCAAUCAUGCAGUACAGAAGUUGCUCUCGCUGGAGAAAGAGCUGAAAGCCAUGGCUGCUUCAGAAGCUGGGACUAGUCAGCCAAGUACAAAGAUUGGGAACAGCAAGGCUGCAUCGCAAAAGCCCAAUGUGCCCAACUUUAGUGAUGUUCAACCUGCUGAUCACGUUACAGCUCUGUAUCCAGAGAAAAGACCAUCGCGUGGCCGCCCCAAAUCAAAAAGAAUGAAAUCGGCAGUUGAGCGUGCGGUGGAAAAAUCAAAGGAUGCAUGCUCUGUUUGCGGAUCAGAAGAUCAUUUUACUGAAGAUUGUGAGUGCUUGAAACUACCAGAUCAGAAUGAUGGCUCCAGCUCUGAAGAUAACUAUGUACCCGAAUCUUGCUUGGAUGGUUCCGGGGAUGAAGGACAGGACCGGUUUGUCGAGGAUCCAGUGCCCGUGGAAACUUCAGAAGCUCGGACAACUCGCUUGAUGGCAUCUGCAUCUACUACACCUCUUGCAGCUCGUUUUGCUACUGCAACCACUUCCUUUCAGCUCUAUGGUUCAGUAUAA